GAUGAAGAACGCAGCGAAAUGCGAUAAGUAAUGCGAAUUGCAGAAUUUCCGUGAAUCAUCGAAUCUUUGAACGCACAUUGCGCCCUCUGGUAUUCCGGGGGGCAUGCCUGUCCGAGCGUCAUUUGCAACCCUCAAGCCCGGCUUGUGUGAUGGGUGCCGUCCCCUACGGGACGCGCCCCGAAGGCAAUGGCGGCGUCGCGGUUAUCCGAUCAGCCAAAGUGUAUGGGGCUUUGUCACUCACUUUACGGCCCGGACCGGCGCCAGUCCGAAUCAAUCUUUUUUCUAAAGUUGACCUCGGAUCAGGUAGGGAUACCCGCUGAACUUAAGCAUAUCAAUAAGCGGAGGA
rnacentral:misc_RNA from 1 species